CUGGCCGUGGCGAAGGCAUCGCCGCGCAGGCGGUAGUGCUGCUGGUGGCGGCAUGAUUCCGCUGCCGCUCGCGUUCGGCGCGCCGCUGCUGAGC
rnacentral:tRNA from 1 species